rnacentral:rRNA from 1 species
AGCGAACGCUGGCGGCAGGCCUAACACAUGCAAGUCGAACGAACUCUUCGGAGUUAGUGGCGGACGGGUGAGUAACACGUGGGAACGUGCCUUUUGGUUCGGAAUAACUCAGGGAAACUUGUGCUAAUACCGAAUGUGCCCUUCGGGGGAAAGAUUUAUCGCCAUUAGAGCGGCCCGCGUCUGAUUAGCUAGUUGGUGAGGUAACUGCUCACCAAGGCGACGAUCAGUAGCUGGUCUGAGAGGAUGACCAGCCACACUGGGACUGAGACACGGCCCAGACUCCUACGGGAGGCAGCAGUGGGGAAUCUUGCGCAAUGGGCGAAAGCCUGACGCAGCCAUGCCGCGUGAAUGAUGAAGGUCUUAGGAUUGUAAAAUUCUUUCACCGGGGACGAUAAUGACGGUACCCGGAGAAGAAGCCCCGGCUAACUUCGUG